GAUGAACGCUGGCGGCGUGCCUAAUACAUGCAAGUCGAGCGAACGGACGAGAAGCUUGCUUCUCUGAUGUUAGCGGCGGACGGGUGAGUAACACGUGGAUAACCUACCUAUAAGACUGGGAUAACUUCGGGAAACCGGAGCUAAUACCGGAUGAUAUUUUGAACCGCAUGGUUCAAAAGUGAAAGACGGUCUUGCUGUCACUUAUAGAUGGAUCCGCGCUGCAUUAGCUAGUUGGUAAGGUAACGGCUUACCAAGGCAACGAUGCAUAGCCGACCUGAGAGGGUGAUAGGCCACACUGGAACUGAGACACGGUCCAGACGCCUACGGGAGGCAGCAGUAGGGAAUCGGCCGCAAUGGGCGAAAGCCUGACGGAGCAACGCCGCGUGAGUGAUGAAGGUCUUCGGAGCGUAAAACUCUGUUAUUAGGGAAGAACAUAUGUGUAAGUAACUGUGCACAUCGUGACGGUACCUAAUCAGAAAGCCACGGCUAACUACGUG
rnacentral:rRNA from 1 species